UGAGCCAGAAUGGACAGAGAUGAGUGAAGACCCAAAGAUCUUCAACCAAGCUGGGCAAGUGUUCAACUAUUGAGCUACACCCCCGACCCUCCCUUCCGUUUGGCUGCAACAAUAAACCAGUUGUGUCCAGGAGAUCCAAAGUCAGUCAAGCCGCUCUACCCACUGAGCCAUCUGGCUGCCUGUCAAGAAGACAAACUUCUGUUGAGUAGUGCUCAGGCACCCGUGAAGACAGGAACUUGGGGAUGAAUGAGGAGAGAGCCUAGAGAGAAAGGGACCCUCGUCUGGCGCACAGAGUCCCUGAACAGAUUUGGACUGGCUUAGCAUGACCAGCAGUCUCAGCCACAGGCACGUUCUCUCUCUCUCUCUCUUCUCUCUCCUGCCUGUCCAGAAAUAGUUUCCGGGAAUCGAGGUGCUUCCCCGCCAGCCAGCGGGGAGAUAAAGCUGCCCGUGUGUGUCGCUUGUCUUGGCUGCCUCUCAGUUGACACCUCUGACAGGCCGCUUUGAUCUCGGGUUAUCAAGGCCUAACCCCGAGCCUGGCCUGCUCUGCCAGCCCUCACUCACUGGGGAAAAGGGCAUUUCAGAAGGUCAGUUCGGGGAGGGACAGGCUUCUCCCCGUGCCCAGCUGGCCUUGGAGCAUGGGUGCUGGAUGUAGGAAUUGUACCCAGUUUUACUCUGCAGCGGGGAUGGAUGGGGGGCUGGGGGAAGAUGGGGGCAGGGUCCUGGCUGAGAAAUGAAGCAUUCAAGUGGUGCCUACAGCAUACGGGGUGUUUACUUCAUGUCCUCAUGGUCCUGGGCCUUCACCACAGAUAAAGAGUCCUGGCUGCUCAUUUAUUGACCAGCCCAGUGUAUGGCCGGCAAGUUUCUCCUCAGACUCGGUUUCCACCCCCUAUCUGGUAAAAUAUAGAGGAUUUUUAUAACUAUGGACACCUCUUCUAGACUAAACCACAUGUAGAGAACCAUUGCACAAACUGGGUGGAAGCAGGAAAGGGGCUGUCUGAGGAGAGGGGGGCUGUGAGGCUUUAUAUCUCAGCUCUGUUAGUCAUUUAUCAUCCCUCAUCAUCAUCGUGUUUGAGACAUGGUCUCAGUCCAGUCCAGACAGACCUCCAUUUGACUACUCUCAUGAAUGCCUAAGGCCCAGCAUACACCACCACCUUCCAGGCUCUCGUUCUGUAAGAGAUAAAGAAUGACGUGUGGUGAGACACGCCUGCCAUCCCUCACCGGAUAGAUGGAGGCUAGAGGCUCACAGGCAAAGGUCAUCUGUGGUUGCAGACAGGAUUCUCUCAGAUGUUCUCAAAGGUUCUUCAGACUAGGAAGAAGAUAAAGCUGAAACCAGAAGAAAGAGUUGCUAAUAGCCCAUGGAUGGACCAAUCCUUUAACCCCAGAGGCUUCUGGGAGUGGAGAGCUGGGCAAAAUAAAGCAAAUAAUAAAAUACAGGAGGGCCCCUGGCCCAGGGCGGUGGAGGUGAUGGGAGUUGGAGUCACUUGCCUGUCAGGACCUAUAUCAACAUGUCAGCCACUUGGACAAACAAGCGUUGCGAGGGGAAAUAUUUCAGAUAAACAGACACGAUGUUAUGACAUAUCACCCCCCCGCCCCCAACCCUGGAAAAGGGGGUCGGUCAGAGACCAAGGAGAAGAAGAAAGGAAGCAACGCCAUGCGGAGAUCUGUUUUCCCUGGCUUGAGGCCCCGGAGGGUCAGCUGUAAAUAAAAUAGGUUUUUC
ensembl:antisense